UACAGAGGGGGCAAGCGUUGUUCGGAAUUACUGGGCGUAAAGGGCGCGUAGGCGGCCUUCUAAGUCGAACGUGAAAUCCCCGGGCUCAACCCGGGAACUGCGUCCGAUACUGGAAGGCUUGAAUCCGGGAGAGGGAUGUGGAAUUCCAGGUGUAGCGGUGAAAUGCGUAGAUAUCUGGAGGAACACCCGUGGCGAAAGCGGCUCUCUGGGACGGUACUGACGCUGAGACGCGAAAGCGUGGGGAGCGAACAGG
rnacentral:rRNA from 1 species